rnacentral:sRNA from 1 species
UGCUCCAAGUAGCUUCUUCUUCAUCGUCAUCUGCCUCGGGGUCGCCCUAACCU